rnacentral:sRNA from 1 species
GUGCGUCGGAGUGAGCCCGGAUGGGGCGGCGGGCUUCGGGAGCGCUGGGGCUGAUCCGAGCUGAGCGGGCCGUAUCUCCUUGUCGGCGCCGCUGAUUCCCGGCUCUGAGGAGGCCUCUAGGCAGCCGCGCAGCUUCCGUGUUUGCUGCGCCCGCACUGCGAUUUACAGUCCUGAAGAAUCUCCCUAUCCGUAUUUUGUCCCCCUGCAGUAAUAAAUCCCAUUAUGGAGAUCUCGAAACUUUAUAAAGGGAUAUAGUUUGAAUUCUAUGGAGUGUAAUUUUGUGUAUGAAUUAUAUUUUUAAAACAUUGAAGAGUUUGCAGAAAGAAGAAUGUCUACAUAUUCAACUUUCCCCGCCGGGGUUCCUGUCUCAGAAAGGAGUCUUGCUCGUGCUGGUUUUUAUUAUACUGGUGUGAAUGACAAGGUCAAAUGCUUCUGUUGUGGCCUGAUGCUGGAUAACUGGAAACUAGGAGACAGUCCUAUUCAAAAGCAUAAACAGCUAUAUCCUAGCUGUAGCUUUAUUCAGAAUCUGGUUUCAGCUAGUCUGGGAUCCACCUCUAAGAAU